CAUCAUACUACAAUCGGCACCGGAGAACGUCACCGGAGAACAUCACCAUCCGAGAAUCACCAUCCAGACUAUAUCGAAAAAAACGAGGAUGUCCACAUCGUCGUGUAAUAUGAGCCAUGGGAGUUGGCCAAGGCCAGAAGUCGUGGUUUGUAAUCAUGGAAUUGAAGCUCAAGUUGUAACAUCGAAGACGGAUGCAAAUCCUGGACGACGUUUCUAUCGGCGCUAUAUUUGGAAGGAGGACGACUGCAAAUUCUUCCGCUGGAUUGAUCCAACUUUGUCACCUUCUCAAGAGAACUAUAUGCAAAAAUUGAAAGUGGAGAAGGACAGCAUGCAAAAAGCAUUGCAAGAGAGAGUUGCUAUUAAUGAUAUGCUAACAGAGAAAGUCCGUUCCAAAGAGGUCGAAUUGGAAUCACUCCAAAUAGUGGUUGAAAAUUUGCGUCGACAGAACCGGAACUUGAAGUAUGCCAUUUUGUGUUUAUGUGUUGUGGUGUGGCUUCUAAUCUAGACUAUAAUAGUGUUAACUUAAUAGGCUAAUGUAUCCCCAACUUUAUCUUCGUUGUAGACUUUACGAAAUUUUCAAUGCAGAUGCAGUGUAACUUAAUUCAUUUA